rnacentral:rRNA from 1 species
AUUGCCUUAGUAACGGCGAGUGAAGCGGCAAAAGCUCAAAUUUGAAAUCUGGCACCUUCGGUGUCCGAGUUGUAAUUUGAAGAAGGUAACUUUGGAGUUGGCUCUUGUCUAUGUUCCUUGGAACAGGACGUCACAGAGGGUGAGAAUCCCGUGCGAUGAGAUGCCCAAUUCUAUGUAAAGUGCUUUCGAAGAGUCGAGUUGUUUGGGAAUGCAGCUCUAAGUGGGUGGUAAAUUCCAUCUAAAGCUAAAUAUUGGCGAGAGACCGAUAGCGAACAAGUACAGUGAUGGAAAGAUGAAAAGAACUUUGAAAAGAGAGUGAAAAAGUACGUGAAAUUGUUGAAAGGGAAGGGCUUGAGAUCAGACUUGGUAUUUUGCGAUCCUUUCCUUCUUGGUUGGGUUCCUCGCAGCUUACUGGGCCAGCAUCGGUUUGGAUGGUAGGAUAAUGACUAAGGAAUGUGGCUCUACUUCGGUGGAGUGUUAUAGCCUUGGUUGAUACUGCCUGUCUAGACCGAGGACUGCGUCUUUUGACUAGGAUGUUGGCAUAAUGAUCUUAAGACACACAUAU